ACUGGCAAAGUUCAUAUAAUAGGGAGUGGGGUUAUUUACGGUAAUAACAUCACCUGCCGUCUGCCAUUUUAAUUGUUGGCUCUGGCUAUCAGGCGUUGAUUUUGUUAAUGCUGGCGGUCGAUAAAUAUCCGUAAACGAUGUCUACUUGGAGGUUGUGCCCUUGAGGCGUGGCUUCCGGAGCUAACGCGUUAAGUAGACCGCCUGGGGAGUACGGCCGCAAGGUUAAAACUCAAAUGAAUUGACGGGGGCCCGCAC
rnacentral:rRNA from 1 species